rnacentral:rRNA from 1 species
UACGUAGGGUGCAAGCGUUAAUCGGAAUUACUGGGCGUAAAGCGUGCGCAGGCGGUUUUGUAAGACUGUCGUGAAAUCCCCGGGCUCAACCUGGGAAUGGCGAUGGUGACUGCAAGGCUAGAGUUUGGCAGAGGGGGGUAGAAUUCCGGGUGUAGUGGUGAAAUGCGUAGAGAUCCGGAGGAACCCCAGAGGCGAAGGCGGCCCCCUGGCUCGUACCUGACGCUCAGCCACGAAAGCAUGGGGAGCGAACGGG